rnacentral:rRNA from 1 species
AGGAUGAACGCUGGCGGCGUGCCUAAGACAUGCAAGUCGAGUGGGUUUAGACCCACGGCAAACGGGUGAGUAAUACCCAGGAACGUACCACGAGUUGAGCAUAAUCCACCGAAAGGUGGGAUAAUUCUCAAUGUGAUCGCAAGAUUAAAGUCGCAAGACGCUCGUGAAGCGGCCUGGGCACCAUCAGCUAGUUGGUAAGGUAAUGGCUUACCAAGGCUUUGACGGUUAGGGGCCCCGAGAGGGGAAACCUCCACACUGGAACUGAGACACGGUCCAGACUCCUACGGGAGGCAGCAGUUUGGAAUUUUGGACAAUGGGCGAAAGCCUGAUCCAGCGACGCCGCGUGGACGAUGAAGGCCUUCGGGUUGUAAGUCCUUUUGUUAGGGAGAAUAUUUUGACGGUACCUAACGAAUAAGAGGUUGCUAACUCUGUGCCAGCAGCCGC